rnacentral:tRNA from 2 species
GCCCCCGUAGCUCAGUGGAUAGAGCGCCGGCCUCCGGAGCCGGGCGCGCGCGUUCGAAUCGCGCCGGGGGUA